rnacentral:lncRNA from 1 species
AUAAAUGAUAACCACUUUAUAUAAAUAUAAAUAUAUACUAAACUCAGAGGAAUUCAUCAGAAACCAUCCAACUUUUAGAAGAAAAAAAGCUAAUUGAUUAUGAAUUUAUGAUUUGAUAAUGUCGAAAGAAUCGUAUUGGAAAGAUAAGCCACCAAAGUUUUGGAAUGUUUUGUUGAAUAUAUUUGGUAAAGCUGAAACAAACAUAAAUAAACUACAACUAUUAAAUUUGAGAAUAAAAAUAAUCGGUGCAUAAACUAAAAGCAUACCAUUAACAUUUUGUUCUGACAUUGUAGCUCCCUACACAAUUACUCAAGUUUAUUUCAAAUAGCAAUAGCUGAAAAUGAGAGAAAAAUAACAUUAAAGCAAAACUUGCGGAAAUACACAAGGGAAAGAAGUGACUUUCUUUUGAAAUAAAUUUCCGAAACAAUAAUUAGUUUAUAUUUAUCAAGUGAUGCAGAAACUCAGUGCUAAAUCAAUACAUACUUAAACAAUGAGAAUGAAGACAAAAGAUUAACAUAUAGUCUACUGCCAUUGAAACAGGUUUCUCCAUAUGCUUUAACAUAACAUAAAUGGGUGGAAUUUAGCAAAAUACGAUUAAAAUAUAAAAAAAAAUCAUUAAAUUUGUAAUAUGAUUUGUUGAUUAUUUGUUACCUGCAAUAUUCAAGCGUGAUGGACGUAAUUCAAAUGGGGUUGUUCUGAAUUUUCAUUUCCACUUGAACCUUCACCAACAUAAGUAUUUGAAAUUCCCAAGUUUAAAUUGAAUCCAUAAUCGCUUCUUGUGUCAGAAAUUGCAAAACUUUGUAAAAUUUAAAAGAAACAACACAAACUGACAGAGUGUGAUUGUAGUUGAUGAAAGUUGUAUUACAGUGAUGAGUUGAAGGAAGCAUAUUGUUUCCUUGUUAAGUAUUGCCUUCAAAGUUGGUGAUUGUUUCCCUUCCAAAUCCCACCUGUCAAAGCCAUGCCAAAUUCAAAAUUAACAUACAAAGUCACUAGGCUAUGGUACCAACAACUACAUACAAUGGAAAUUACAACUGGAAAAUAAAUAGUUGAUUGGAUGAAGAUCAUUAUUUUAUACAAUAAAAGUAGAAGUGUUAGCAAAAAUUAACAAAUGAAAAGGAGAUAAGAGAUUGAAAUUAUCAAAUUAAGAAAAUAAGAUUGGUGUGUAGAGAAGCUGGGCAACGAUCAGAACCGGUGACAGCCGAAUUUCAGAAGAAUGCCAUUUCUGCAUUUCUUUACCCUCAAUGACAUAUUCUUCUGCAAACAAAGGAUUCGGUAGUCAUAAAUUCAAUAAAUUAGUAGACGGAAUUAGAGUUAGAGAAGAAAUUAACAUGAUGGAAUGGAAUGCAAUUUGUAAUUUGAGGACCUAUAACUGUUAUAACUGGAAGUUCCAGGAUAGAAUUCAUACUUGCAGUUCCACCGACACCACCCACUAUUUUGGAUAAUCAAUCUUUCACUUCAAUAUUCUCGUUGCACCAUUGAUGAUUUUAGUUCUCAAAGUUCACUAAUGGAACUUUAAGUUUUCUGCAUUGGUGUGCUCAACAAUGGAAACAAUAAGCAUACAUGAAAGCCAAUGUUGAUACGGUGGCAAGCAAUCCAUGGUGGAAGGUGGGAAUCGAGUAUGUAUAUGAGACCCAAAUUAGACAAUAAAGCAACCCCAACCCUAAAACAAAGUGACUGACGGUAGAGCCCGAAACCAAAAAUUGAAAAAACAAACAACUAACCCAAAAUCGAAUAAUCGAACAGAGAACUACUUCCAAACAUCAAAAAACAUGUAUGAACAUGUGAAGAACAGAGGUAACUUACCCAACUCGCAAUCAAAAUAGAUACAUUGAAACUGAUGGUUGGGUGCGACGAAACAACCGUGAACCGUCCGCGUCAUUGCGAAAUCUCAACAAUCACUGCACCGACAAACCCCAAAAUUGUUGGAAGCAAAGAAAAGACCAAGAAGAAAUCAUAAAUUAAGGGAAAGACAAAGACAAAGAGGAAUGAUAAUCAUUUUAACAGUGAUGCAUGUAUCGUAUUGACAGGGACGAAAGCUUAGAAACUGCAACAUUG